AAACCUCUUUCUACCUUUUGGUGGGAGACUUGUCGGUUGUGCCCCUCGGGGUACUCUGAUUAAAUGCAGUAGGUCUGGAUCAGGCUAGUGGCCUGGGACACUGUGUGUUAGAGACGUCGCGUUGUUGACUGUCUUCUCAUAGUGCGUCCUAGGCUAUUCAAGCUGGCCUGGUCAAGCCUUCUAGUCGGUGCGUAUGCGCUGACAACCCCCCU
rnacentral:misc_RNA from 1 species